CCGACGGUCCAAAUGUUGUUGUUCGGAAC
rnacentral:sRNA from 1 species